UACGGAGGGUGCAAACGUUGCUCGGAAUCAUUGGGCGUAAAGCGCACGUAGGCGGGAUGGCAAGUCGGUCGUGAAAUCCUUCGGCUCAACCGAAGAACGUCGGCCGAUACUGCCGUUCUUGAGGGAUGCAGAGGAGAUUGGAAUUCCCGGUGUAGCGGUGAAAUGUGUAGAGAUCGGGAGGAACACCGGUGGCGAAGGCGGGUCUCUGGGCAUCUCCUGACGCUGAGGCGCGAAAGCGUGGGGAGCAAACGGG
rnacentral:rRNA from 1 species